rnacentral:rRNA from 1 species
GACGAACGCUGGCGGCGUGCUUAACACAUGCAAGUCGAACGCUGAAGCUUGGUGCUUGCACUGGGUGGAUGAGUGGCGAACGGGUGAGUAAUACGUGAGUAACCUGCCCUUGACUCUGGGAUAAGCCUGGGAAACUGGGUCUAAUACUGGAUACGAUAUGUCACCGCAUGGUGGUGUGUGGAAAGGGGUUUAUUGGUUUUGGAUUGGCUCACGGCCUAUCAGCUUGUUGGGGGGGUAAUGGCACACCAAGGCGACGACGGGUAGCCGGCCUGGGAGGGUGGCCGGCCACGCUACGCCGGAGCUACGGCACAGCCUCGAAUGGGAGGCAAGGGUGGAGAAUAUUACACAGUAGGCGGGGCGCAGGUGCGACGCAGCCGCGUGGGGUAUGUGAGGCUGCGCGUUGUGAACCAAUUUCCGCUUAGACGGGGCGAUAGUGACGGUACCUGCAGAAGAAGCGCCGGCUAACUACGUG